GUUAGCGGCGGACGGGUGAGUAACACGUGGGUAACCUGCCUGUAAGACUGGGAUAACUCCGGGAAACCGGGGCUAAUACCGGAUGGUUGUUUGAACCGCAUGGUUCAAACAUAAAAGGUGGCUUCGGCUACCACUUACAGAUGGACCCGCGGCGCAUUAGCUAGUUGGUGAGGUAACGGCUCACCAAGGCAACGAUGCGUAGCCGACCUGAGAGGGUGAUCGGCCACACUGGGACUGAGACACGGCCCAGACUCCUACGGGAGGCAGCAGUAGGGAAUCUUCCGCAAUGGACGAAAGUCUGACGGAGCAACGCCGCGUGAGUGAUGAAGGUUUUCGGAUCGUAAAGCUCUGUUGUUAGGGAAGAACAAGUACCGUUCGAAUAGGGCGGUACCUUGACGGUACCUAACCAGAAAGCCACGGCUAACUACGUGCCAGCAGCCGCGGUAAUACGUAGGUGGCAAGCGUUGUCCGGAAUUAUUGGGCGUAAAGGGCUCGCAGGCGGUUUCUUAAGUCUGAUGUGAAAGCCCCCGGCUCAACCGGGGAGGGUCAUUGGAAACUGGGGAACUUGAGUGCAGAAGAGGAGAGUGGAAUUCCACGUGUAGCGGUGAAAUGCGUAGAGAUGUGGAGGAACACCAGUGGCGAAGGCGACUCUCUGGUCUGUAACUGACGCUGAGGAGCGAAAGCGUGGGGAGCGAACAGGAUUAGAUACCCUGGUAGUCCACGCCGUAAACGAUGAGUGCUAAGUGUUAGGGGGUUUCCGCCCCUUAGUGCUGCAGCUAACGCAUUAAGCACUCCGCCUGGGGAGUACGGUCGCAAGACUGAAACUCAAAGGAAUUGACGGGGGCCCGCA
rnacentral:rRNA from 1 species